rnacentral:rRNA from 1 species
UAAACUACGAUUAGAUACCCUAUUAUUUUAAAUGUGAAGAUUUAUGCUGGGGUAGUAGUAGAAUAUUUUCUUGAAACUCAAAGAAUUUGGCGGUAUUUUAGUCUUUUCAGAGGAACCUGUUUCUUUAUCGAUAUUCCACGUUUUAUCUAGCUUGACUUUGUUUUCAGUUUGUAUACCGCCGUUAUCAGAAUGUUUUUUUAGAAUUUAAAUUUUCGAUACUUUUUAUUGAGGGUGAUUUCAGGUCAAGGUGCAGCUUAUAGUUAAGUGAAAAUGGGUUACAAUAAAUAUAUUUAUAUGGAUAGUUUCAUGAAAUGUGAAAUUUGAAGGUGGAUUUGAUAGUAAUAUAAUAUAUAAUAUUAAUUUGAUUCUGGCUCUAGAAUAUGUACACAUCGCCCGUCGCUCUUA